UCUCACGUCGCAAAAUAUAAUGAAUCAAGAUGCAAAGAACACCAUUACUCAUGACAAAGCCAGCCUGGUAGUGCUCCAGGGAUGAGGCUCACUUUUGCUCAAGAGCAUUUGGAGCAGAGGGGAAGAUACAAAUAUAUAUAUACAGUUCAGCUUAUAUUUUUAAAGGAAAUUAUUUCAGAGACAAAUAGUGCCAGGUGAGAUAGUAUUAAAUGUGCAAGCCUGUACCCAAUUGGAGCAUAAGAGAAUCAAGAAUAAAAUCCUAGUGAAUAUCAAUAUUUUAUGAAACAGGCAGAGGAGAAGUGAUUAUAAGGAAGACUGAAUCAGAAUAACCAGAAGAAAACUUGAAAAGAGGCAAAUAAGGAGAAUGUAUUGUCAUUAGAGCAGAAUGAGAAGAUUUCAAAGAUUGAGUUAUUAGGGUCAAUGGAACAGGAAAGCACAUUCCUGGGACCUGGGAGGGAAACACCACCCAGCAAGCGUGUUCCUCACUGAAUAGACCCCAGAUGACCAAAUGGAGGCUGCAAGAACUGAAUGAAAAAGAGGAAAACUUCAUUCGAACAGGAGGAAAGCAGCAUGAAAAACAAAAGGUAAGUCAAAUGGGGUAUUUUUAAGGUGAGCAUAAGCAUUUUGCAUAGAACUGUUUCUAUCUGAGGGUAAUAUCUUUCUUAG